AGAAAAUCAGCUUUAUGAGCGAGGCCGAGCGCAGGAACUGUGAACAGAGCCGUGCACGCCCGGAGAAGAGGAGCCAUCGAGGCGUUUCCUCUGGAGAAGCCGUCCAGCAGGGAGGACGGUCCAGCGCAUGCGCGAGUGGAGGAGAGUCCAGGACAGGACAGGAGGGAGUACAGGAGGAUACGUCUAGUGACUGCAGGACACUACCAGAAACAUCUUUGCCAUUCAGUCCCAGCAUGGACAAACCCCCCCCCCCCCCCCCCCCCAAAGAAAACUACUCUUUGUCAACACUGUAAUCUGAAGAUUCUUAAAAAAAGCAUGAAGAAACAUUUACAGAAGACACACUGACAUUGCUCACAGAGACAUCAGUGCUUCUUCCCAUCUUGAUGCCAUGUGCGCAGACCAGAGAAAUGAGAUACUUGCUGUGGAAAAAUCCUUUAUUGGACCACUUGUGCCUCUGCGUGUGCAAAAGAAAACUUGGGGGAAACUACAUCAGGUAAAGUGUGAGUCCAGCGAGUGGCAGAAGGACUGUGACUUUGCUGUCUGGAGCGGCUUGACCACCUUUCAGUGCCAUCAUGUCCGCUCUUUGGAUUACUGCUCAGCAAAUGGCAUCCAGACGGCGCUCCAUGAAGACACACUAAGUGAUAUGGUUGAAAACGAGAAACGCCAGUGUCUCCAGCUGCAGUCUCAGGCAGCUAGCGGACCAGCCACAGCUGAUCUCACCCUGAAGUCGGAAUGCAAACGAUAUACAUCAGUCUUUGAACCAACUGUAAGCUGCUAUAGGCGCCUUGGGAGAGUCAUGGUCACUUACGACACAAGACUGAAUACAUGGCGCUGUCCAUGGUCAAAGCCAAGAAUGCCGUGCAUUCAUGAAGACCUGGCCACAUGGCAUUUCUAUGAGAGCCAGCGUCAUCUCUUCAGGAAGGUACGGAGCACAGACAUAACUUUAGAGGGUGAGCCACAACCAAAAUGUGGGUAUAAGAUCCUCCUGAGGAUAACCAACUACACAGGAUGGUCUCAUGUCUUCACUCCGCGAAAAAGUACCCGCCUGUUUCACCAGAAAAUGUCUGAUCCGUCCAAAAAAGAAGAAAGCCCACAAGAGCUUGUUCCAGGAGAAACGGUAUGCUCUUCAUGUCCAGGAGGCUUCGUUCUCGGCCCACCAGUGCUCAUCACAAAACAAGCACAGAUCGUGUCUUUGACCGGUGAGGUAAGCUGAGAGGUGUUCACACCGACUGCAGAGACUGCAGCAGAUGUGGGACGCCUUACAGACUCCAGGAAUAUCUGGAUGGUUUACAGAACUUUGAUCAUGGCGUCAUUUUGACUCUAAACUUGUGCAUCUUUCUACGGAACUCACUUCAGGCUCACACUGCUGUUGGGCGAGUUUUUGAUGCCCUAGAAGAAACUCUGCUAACAGUUUUGCCAAGCAGGGACCGGCUCCUUCAUUCAUAUCUGCAUGUUGAAGCUCUCACAGCACACGAAUACAAAUAUUCUUGUGUGAACUGUGGACACGUCCCUCAUGUAGUGACGGUGUGAUCCGCGUCGCCCGCCGCCAAAGCCGGUCGGAGGCUGGGCCGCUGGGUCGGGGGAACGGCCCGCCACGGCGCCGUGGCCGUGGCGGGGGCCUCCGUGGCGGGUCCAGGCUUUAUGUGUGCUCUGCUUCUCUCCUGCUUCUCUGACUCCUCCUGCUGGAGCCGCUCACUGCGGCUGGCUCACAUUUCGCCGAAUUCGCCCGAAGAAAAUCAUAAACAGUUGGUAUUCGGACAAACAAAUGACACACUCGGGCUGUGAACCACCACUUUGUCGCCUAAUUUUUUAAAAAAAAAAUCUCGAUAAAGUUAUACAUUUGAAGAGUUUAGAGCUAAAGUGAAAUCAGCUUUAGCAGAUCGAUUUCGGCACCGAUUCCGCCAUUGUCAACAUGAAGACAGGACACAAGCUCCUCCCACUCCCGCGCGUCGCCAGCGUUGCAAGCGUCGUGUGUAAUUUGAACACGCGUCGAAUUCCACACUUCACACGCGUCAACUUUGACGCGUCAGUGACGCCUGUGACGCUUGCAACGCGUCCGGUGUGAACGCAGCAUCACUGUCUUUACACACACACACACACACACACACACACACACACACACACACACACACACACACACACACACACACACACAGGAGGUUCUCUGAUGGGGAUCAGGACCAGCUGAUCCUCUGAUCUAACAGAACUGGACCCAGUAGGUUCAGCAGGGUCCUGACCCGGUUCCAGCUCUGCUCACUUCCCUGCUUUCCUUCAUGUCGUGUUUCAGAACUACCUCUGGUCUCUGCUCUCGUCCAUUAACCCCGCCCCCACCUCCCGCCCCGCCCCGCAGCUAACGUCCAAUCAGAUAAACUUCCUGUUUUGAAUAACUGAGAGCACGGGACAUUGCACUUGUUUAAACACACACCAGGGAGGGGCUGUAAAUGUCUGUGUGUGUGUGUGUGUGUGUGUGUGUGUGUGUGUGUGUGUGUGUGUGUGUGUGUGUGUUCUCGU